CCUACGGGCGGCUGCAGUGGGGAAUAUUGCACAAUGGGCGCAAGCCUGAUGCAGCCAUGCCGCGUGUGUGAAGAAGGCCUUCGGGUUGUAAAGCACUUUCAGCGGGGAGGAAGGCGGUGAGGUUAAUAACCUCAUCGAUUGACGUUACCCGCAGAAGAAGCACCGGCUAACUCCGUGCCAGCAGCCGCGGUAAUACGGAGGGGGCAAGCGUUAAUCGGAAUUACUGGGCGUAAAGCGCACGCAGGCGGUCUGUCAAGUCGGAUGUGAAAUCCCCGGGCUCAACCUGGGAACUGCAUUCGAAACUGGCAGGCUAGAGUCUUGUAGAGGGGGGUAGAAUUCCAGGUGUAGCGGUGAAAUGCGUAGAGAUCUGGGGGAAUACCGGUGGCGAAGGCGGCCCCCUGGACAAAGACUGACGCUCAGGUGCGAAAGCGUGGGGAGCAAACAGGAUUAGAUACCCGUGUAGUC
rnacentral:rRNA from 1 species